rnacentral:rRNA from 1 species
GCGUGGGGAGCAAACAGGAUUAGAUACCCUGGUAGUCCACGCAGUAAACGAUGAAUGUUAGUCGUCGGGUAGCUAGUCUAUUCGGUGAUGCAGCUAACGCAUUAAACAUUCCGCCUGGGGAGUACGGUCGCAAGAUUAAAACUCAAAGGAAUAGACGGGGACCCGCACAAGUGUUGGAGCAUGUGGUUUAAUUCGAAGAUACGCGAAGAACCUUACCUAGCCUUGACAUAUAUUAGAACACUUUAGAGAUAGAGUGGUGCCUUCGGGAGCUUUUAUACAGGUGCUGCACGGCUGUCGUCAGCUCGUGUCGUGAGAUGUUGGGUUAAGUCCCGCAACGAGCGCGACCCUCGUCACUAGUUACUAACGGUUCGGCCGAGGACUCUAGUGAGACUGCCUUCGUAAGGAGGAGGAAGGUGAGGACGACGUCAAGUCAUCAUGGCCCUUACGGCUAGGGCAACACACGUGCUACAAUGGUUAGGACAAUGAGACGCAAUACCGCGAGGUGGAGCAAAUCUAUAAACCUAAUCUCAGUUCGGAUUGUUCUCUGCAACUCGAGAACAUGAAGCUGGAAUCACUAGUAAUCGUAGAUCAGCUAUGCUACGGUGAAUACGUUCCCGGGUCUUGUACUCACCGCCCGUCACACCAUGGGAGUUGAUUUCACCCGAAGCGGGGAAGCUAAACUGGCUACCCUCCACGGUGGAAUUAGCGACUGGGGUGAAGUCGUAACAAGGUAACCGUA